CCUACGGGUGGCAGCAGUGAGGAAUAUUGGUCAAUGGCCGGAAGUCUGAACCAGCCAAGCCGCGUGAAGGACGAAGGUGCCAAGCAUUGUAAACUUCUUUUGUCAAGGGACAAAAUCAGGCUCGAGAGCCUGACCGAGGGUACUUGAAGAAAAAGCAUCGGCUAACUCCGUGCCAGCAGCCGCGGUAAUACGGAGGAUGCGAGCGUUAUCCGGAUUUAUUGGGUUUAAAGGGUGCGUAGGCGGGCUGUUAAGUCAGCGGUAAAAGCCCGGGGCUCAACCCCGGCGAGCCGUUGAAACUGGCUGUCUUGAGAUGUCGAGAGGUAUGCGGAAUGCGCAGUGUAGCGGUGAAAUGCUUAGAUAUUGCGCAGAACUCCGAUUGCGAAGGCAGCAUACCGGCGGCGAUCUGACGCUGAGGCACGAAAGCGUGGGUAGCGAACAGGAUUAGAUACCCGUGUAGUC
rnacentral:rRNA from 1 species